rnacentral:rRNA from 1 species
UACGUAGGGUGCAAGCGUUGUCCGGAAUUAUUGGGCGUAAAGAGCUCGUAGGCGGUCUGUCGCGUCGGCUGUGAAAACCCGAGGCUCAACCUCGGGCCUGCAGUCGAUACGGGCAAACUAGAGUACUGCAGGGGAGACUGGAAUUCCUGGUGUAGCGGUGGAAUGCGCAGAUAUCAGGAGGAACACCGGUGGCGAAGGCGGGUCUCUGGGCAGUAACUGACGCUGAGGAGCGAAAGCGUGGGGAGCGAACAGG